rnacentral:tRNA from 1 species
UGCAUCGGCCGGGAACCGAACCCGGGCCGGCCGCGUGGCAGGCGAGCAUUCUACCACUGAACCACCGAUGC